AGUGAACGCUGGCGGCAGGCCUAAUACAUGCAAGUCGAACGGCAGCACAGUGGAGCUUGCUCCAUGGGUGGCGAGUGGCGGACGGGUGAGGAAUGCAUGGGAAUCUGCCCAGUCGUGGGGGAUAACGUAGGGAAACUUACGCUAAUACCGCAUGCGCCCUUCGGGGGAAAGCCGGGGACCUUCGGGCCUGGCGCGAUUGGAUGAGCCCAUGUUCGAUUAGCUAGUUGGCGGGGUAAAGGCCCACCAAGGCGACGAUCGAUAGCUGGUCUGAGAGGAUGAUCAGCCACACUGGGACUGAGACACGGCCCAGACUCCUGCGGGAGGCAGCAGUAGGGAAUAUUGGACAAUGGGCGCAAGCCUGAUCCAGCCAUGCCGCGUGAGUGAAGAAGGCCCUCGGGUUGUAAAGCUCUUUUGUCCGGGAAGAAAAGCAUCGGGCUAAUACCUCGGUGUUCUGACGGUACCGGAAGAAUAAGCACCGGCUAACUUCGUG
rnacentral:rRNA from 1 species